rnacentral:rRNA from 1 species
UGGGGAAUAUUGCGCAAUGGGCGAAAGCCUGACGCAGCGACGCCGCGUGGGGGAUGACGGCCUUCGGGUUGUAAACCUCUUUCAGCAGGGACGAAGCGAAAGUGACGGUACCUGCAGAAGAAGCACCGGCCAACUACGUGCCAGCAGCCGCGGUAAUACGUAGGCAGCAAGCGUUGUUCGGAGUUACUGGGCGUAAAGAGUGCGUAGGCGGUUGCUUAAGUUUGGUGUGAAAUCUCCCGGCUCAACUGGGAGGGUGCGCCGAAAACUGGGCAGCUUGAGUGUCGGAGAGGUAUGCGGAAUUCCUGGUGUAGCGGUGAAAUGCGUAGAUAUCAGGAGGAACACCUGUGGUGUAGACAGCAUACUGGACGAUAACUGACGCUGAGGCACGAAAGCGUGGGUAGCAAACAGGAUUAGAUACCC